rnacentral:rRNA from 1 species
UACGGAGGGGGCUAGCGUUGUUCGGAAUUACUGGGCGUAAAGCGCACGUAGGCGGCUUUGUAAGUUAGAGGUGAAAGCCCGGGGCUCAACUCCGGAAUUGCCUUUAAGACUGCAUCGCUAGAAUUGUGGAGAGGUAAGUGGAAUUCCGAGUGUAGAGGUGAAAUUCGCAGAUAUCGGGAGGAACACCGGUGGCGAAGGCGGUUCUCUGGGCCUUACCUGACGCUGAGGAGCGAAAGCGUGGGGAGCGAACAGG